GACAUUUCCUUGUAGGACAGGCCAGAAGUUCCUCCCCUUACCAGGAGUGGUAGAAUCAGCAACAUCCAUGGCCAGCAGAACUUCACUGCCUUGAAAGCUUCUUAGUAAAUGUUAAGCUGAAUGGGACUGCAAGAAACAGCUGUGCUAGAGCUCCGAUUCUGUAGCAAAAACAACUGUACAUCAAAAAACAUUUAUCCAGGGUCUGAACCAGCCCACAGAACUCAGAAUAGUUAACAAGACAGUUUUCACCGUUGUGAAUUGCUGAAGUGUAGUGAACCUGCUUUGUACUCCUUAGACAAGUUCACCCAGCCAUGAACCCAUGUUCCUCACACGCUCAACAAGUAAACAGCUGCCUGCUCUCCGGACCCCUGACAGCUGACGCAGAUACUUCAUACAGAGAAAUGGAGAAGAAGGAAAGGGUUUUUGAACUCAACAUUCAGAGUCAGCCCUUGUCCUUGACAGGGUGAUUGAAGAACUCAGUGAGGAACUGAGCAGUUCCUCAGGUCCCUUUGGCAGCGAGGAAUUCAGGCAUGACGAGAGCAAAACUCAAAAAGUUGUUGGUGUUCUUCUACCAAGCAGUGAAUCUACCUUCAGAGACAUCUUUGAUGUGACAAGUGUAUUCCAAAGUGUACCAGAGGUAAAGCAACAGUGGAUCAAUGACAGGGGAAGGUCAUUUAAGACUGACAGUCCUGAUUUUACACUGGCCUGACCAAAGAAUGCAAGUGAACAUUCCUUUAAAGUAUUUUUGUAAUUUUAGUGGGGCUGCUAGUGAGAAAAGUGAUUUUUCCUGACACCAGAAGCAGAUGAAAAAGUUAAUGCUUCUGUGGAAGUACUGGGAGGCAGACGUAGUCCCUAAAGACAAUACAUGUAGGCUUUGGAUUCCUAUCUAUAAAGCCAUUGUGGAUACUACGUACACCGGUAUUUCUGAAUCUCAAAUACUAACAAUAAAUUCAUUCCAUAAAAUGAAUACCUACAUUUAUGCACUACUCCCCACUGUAAAGUGUUUAUUAAUAGAAGGAGGCAGCCAAUCUUUCACAACUUGCCAGCUUUAAGGACAUCUGUGUUAGAGUUGAUGUCAUUGUACGCAUCCUGUGAUUACUUUUAUGUGGUCUCACAGUUUAAUGUCAAGACUAAAUUUUUAGUUUGUUCAUUCGACGUCGACUAAAACAAAUUUGUUCUUUCAUUUUCUUGCUUCAUUUUUCAAACUGGAGCAUAAUAAACCAUUUCUUCAGAUUCUGAGAGAAAAAAGGCAGAUUUUACACAAGAAAACAAUACAAAAGUUUAGUAUUUCAGAAUAUUAUGAUAAACAUCAGAUUUCAGCUUACAGUGAAUUUUGUAACAAAGUAGUAAACAGGGAUUUGGAAGAGAAAUAGUGAGAGGUCUCUUACUAACAUUUUAAUACAGUUGAAUUUGAAAAGUUUAUGAAAGUUUCUGUCAUGUUUAAUUACUGUAUUUACGAGAGCAUUUCCCAACACAGAAAAGGGCUAUACUUAGUAACAGCCAGCCUGCCAUCCUGCCUCAUUUUUCAGCAUUCCUGUUUUUCUUGGAGGUCAUUUUUAAUGACUAUGUACAGGCACCUGAAAAAUCAGGUGCAUAAAUUAACUACCAAUUAAUAAAAAAAAAAACAAAAGAAGAAAAUAUAAUUACUAGUUUCUAUAUAUAAGUCCACUCAUUAUCAUGUGGAAUGUGUGCAUGUUUAUCACGUAGCAAUUACUGAGGCACAAAAGAAAAGUGGCAUUUUCAUUGUGUUGCAGUCCUGAAACUGCAUAUAACAUGAAGCAAAAGAACCUGCUCUCAAAUUUAUAUGUCAGUGCUUAAUGUUGAAAGAAUGUUAUCACAAUUUAAUAUAGCAAAUGCUUAAUUACUUCUGUGUAACAUUUUCCCCCAUUUGCUAUCACUGUCUGUCUGGAGUGGCUGUUGACCUAGUUUUCAAUUAAUUGCAAUGAGAAUUUUUUUCAUGCCUUUAAAGCAAUGAAUUUUUCUUUCCUGAUUAGACACGACAACUGGAAUUAUGAAUUCGUAAUUGAUAAACUUUGUUGCCACUAUCAAUAGAGAACUGGCAUUACUACAAAAAAAAUUCUUAUAAAUACUAAAGGCAUCAAAAAACAUAAAGAAUGUUGAGAUUCUGUGAUUCUGUGAACAACCAGGAUGCCUCUCCAGUAGACAGCAUUUUAGUCUUUCUUUUAAUAUUUCAGGUAAGUUUACUCUUUUUUUUAAAAUUUAACUGCAGGAAUAGAAAAAAGAAAACAACCUGGUAGUGACAAUGUCCCUUUUAUAUAAUAAGCUUUGGUUCAGUUCUUCAGUUGUCUUUUAACUCACCUAUCUUAAUCUUAUGUAUCUUAAUUCUCACUGAAACCCAGGAGAAUGUAUAUAUCCAAAUUCCUUUGUAAAUAUGAUGCCUAGAAGUGAGAACCCUACUCAAAAAUGUUGAGGUUCUAAAACUCAAGUUUUCCACUGCCUGAGGGGAUUCAAGCCAAGUAUUCUCAGAGUUGGUCCUGCCUACAUCCAGAGUCAAAAUACCACUCACCCAAAUGUAGAAUUUAGCUGGUUUUAUGGCUGCAUAUGUUUCAUCAAUUUUAUUACGGUGGUUCCAGGAUUUUAAUGCUAAUGAGACACACAGAUGGAAACUAAAAUCCACAUAAGGUAAAUGCUCCCAAGUGCCUGUGAUCUAUCCAUUGUGCAUCCAGGCAUAUUUCCUUCUACUUUUAAAACUGUUUUUUUACUUUUUUUUACUUUUUUUUCCGCAGAAACACCUCUCAAAGUAAACAUUAUAAGAGCAAAAGGCUAGUAAUUAAGUUGUUACUGACACCUCAGAAUACAGGAUGACUGCAUGCAAUUUCAGUAACAUGUAGACUGUAACUUAUAGCAUUAGAGACAUUUACUGUAUGCUUUUUUAUUUUCAGCACUGUAAUAGCUAUGGACUGUAUUCAGCACCUGCUGGUAAAAUUAGCCUCAGCUAACUGCAUGUUAUUUGUCUCUCUCUAUUUCAUUAUUCACCACAAUUUUUUGUUGAUGUCUACACUGUUAGCACCAUGUGAAUCACCUUAAAGCAAUUUAACCAGCCAAGUUCUCCUGUCACUUAAUCCUGGCCAACUUAGGCUACCCUGGUAUUAAGUGAAUGCAUAAUGUAGCUCAAUGGAUGAAAAUUAAAGCAGAUCAUGUUGUAAUAUAAA